UACGAAGGGGGCUAGCGUUGCUCGGAAUCACUGGGCGUAAAGCGCACGUAGGCGGAUUGCUAAGUCAGGGGUGAAAUCCUGGAGCUCAACUCCAGAACUGCCUUUGAUACUGGCAACCUUGAGUCCGGGAGAGGUGAGUGGAACUGCGAGUGUAGAGGUGAAAUUCGUAGAUAUUCGCAAGAACACCAGUGGCGAAGGCGGCUCACUGGCCCGGUACUGACGCUGAUGCGCGACAGCAUGGGGAGCAAACAGG
rnacentral:rRNA from 1 species